rnacentral:misc_RNA from 1 species
AAAAAAAAAAAAAAGAAUUGCUUUAGCCUUUAAGCUUUGGGAUGAUGUUUUCUUUUUUUUAUCUUCUUUAGAGUAUUGGUAGGACAAGGAAAGCCCGCAACUUUCUUUCCUCGCAGUUGCCAAGAACCCACUUUUCUUUUUUCAUAUUUUGUCGCCUGCUUUGUAUUUUCUUAUUUGUAGGCUAAGGAAUAGAGAUUUUUCUUUUCUUUUAACAAACAAAACUCACUGCCUCUGCUAUUUUGCUACGACGCAUGUUUAGUAGUGUAUAUAGUCAACAGCCGUGUGUUCUGUUCCCAUCUCUUCUCUGCAAGGCUUGAACCAUG